AAAAUAGUUUGUGUACCAUGUAUUUGUGGUUGUACCUGAAUAUUUAUACUUUGUGGUUGUUUCAGUUCCUCAUCUGAUUUGACAAGGUCACAAUUCUCCUUCUGAUAUGCAUUGAAUAUAAAGCCUCGGCUAUUCUCUGGAGCUGACUUAGAAACAAAGGGCUCCACAGAAUCAAAAGAAUUCAGGCAUGUCACUUGCAAACCUUUCGGUAACUCUGAAUUGUUUUCCACAAAAGAAUCAUCUAGUACCCUCUCAGGCUUUCCACUAUAUGGUGGGUUCAGGAAAGAAGUACAUUCUUUACACUGGAGUUAACUCUUCAGGUCUUUUCUGUCAUAAUUAAGUAUAACUGAGUGAAAGAAAGAUUUAUUGAGCUCUUACCUUCCUGGAGUAUCAGAACUAAUGAGCUCAGUGGCACAUUCCAAGCAUCAGAGUUUACAGUCUUCCAGUCUACUGGACCAUGGCCUACAGUUCCUCAGAUCUUUCAGAGCUUUAUGGCACUGAAUCCCUGAUUAGUAUACCAUGGACCAGCUCCUGGACCAGCUCUGUAAGAACUGAAAAGGAACUUCUGUGCAGCACUCCUGCUGAUGGGGAAGAAUGUAGAGGUAAAGAGUACCCUCCUGCAGGGCUUUGUCAUGUUUGUAACCUAUUGUCCUUGCCUACUA
rnacentral:lncRNA from 1 species